UACAGAGGCCCCAAACGUUGCGCGGAAUCACUGGGCUUAAAGGGUGCGUAGGCGGGCCCGCAAGUGCUUUGUGAAAUCCCACGGCUCAACCGUGGAAUCGCUUGGCAUACUGCGGGCCUUGAGGUUGGCAGAGGCUGCUGGAACUCUAGGUGUAGCGGUGAAAUGCGUAGAUAUCUAGAGGAACGCCCAAGGCGAAGGCAGGCAGCUGGGCCGAUUCUGACGCUGAGGCACGAAAGCGUGGGGAGCAAACAGG
rnacentral:misc_RNA from 1 species